rnacentral:rRNA from 1 species
ACGGGGUGCAGCAGGCGCGAAAACUUCACACUGGGGGGAACCCCGAUGAGGGAAAUCCUAGUGCUAGGACAUUUGUUCUAGCUUUUCUCAAGCGUAGAUAACUUGAGGAAUAAGGGCUGGGUAAGACGGGUGCCAGCCGCCGCGGUAAUACCUGCAGCCCAAGUGGUGGUCGAUUUUAUUGAGUCUAAAACGUUCGUAGCCGGUUUGGUAAAUCUUUGGGUAAAUCGGGAGGCUCAACUUUCCGACUUCCGAAGAGACUGCCAAACUUGGGACCGGGAGAGGCUAGAGGUACUUCUGGGGUAGGGGUAAAAUCCUGUAAUCCUAGAAGGACCACCGGUGGCGAAGGCGUCUAGCUAGAACGGAUCCGACGGUGAGGGACGAAGCCCUGGGUCGCAAACGGGAUUAGAUACCCCGGUAGUCCAGGGUGUAAACGCUGCCGACUUGGUGUUGGGGGCCCUACGGGGGCGUCCAGUGCCGGAGAGAAGUUGUUAAGUCUGCUACUUGGGGAGUACGUCCGCAAGGAUGAAACUUAAAGGAAUUGGCGGGGGAGCAC